UACGUAGGUGGCGAGCGUUGUCCGGAUUUAUUGGGUUUAAAGGGUGCGUAGGCGGCUUUGUAAGUCAGUGGUGAAAUACUCCAGCUUAACUGGAGGGGUGCCAUUGAUACUGCGGAGCUUGAGUACAGAUGAGGUAGGCGGAAUUGACGGUGUAGCGGUGAAAUGCAUAGAUAUCGUCAAGAACACCGAUAGCGAAGGCAGCUUACUGGGCUGCAACUGACGCUGAUGCACGAAAGUGUGGGGAUCAAACAGG
rnacentral:rRNA from 1 species